rnacentral:misc_RNA from 1 species
UACGAAGGGGGCGAGCGUUGUUCGGAAUCACUGGGCUUAAAGCGUGCGUAGGCGGAAAGAAAAGUCAGAUGUGAAAGCCCAGGGCUCAACCCUGGAACUGCAUUUGAAACUGCCUUUCUAGAAUCCGGUAGAGGCUGAUGGAAUAUCCAGUGUAGAGGUGAAAUUCGCAGAUAUUGGAUAGAACACCAGUGGCGAAGGCGAUCAGCUGGGCCGGUAUUGACGCUGAGGUACGAAAGCGUGGGGAGCAAACAGG